UUUUCCCGUGUCCUCACCCAAAUCUCGCCGAGUCUUCUUCUUCCCCGCGCCUUCUCCCCCUCACGGCGAAUUUGCCCUAACCGCAACCGCAAGGAGGCGGUUUCCUCACUUCCUUGCCGUGCCCUAGCCGUGCGCCGCCGACGCCUCCUUCUCACUGCCGCGCCUCCGACAGUCGUUCGUCCCCGCCGUACACCGCGAUCUCGACGCCACAGUGCGCCCCUCAACGCCGACGUCUCCUCGCUGGCACUCAGGCACAGCCGAGCAGAGGUCUUCCUCUACCCGACUCCGACAUCUCUCCUUUUCCUCCCGAGCCGAACACCGAUGCCACUGCCUUAGCCAUCUCGCGCCGCCACCACAGCCGGUCACCGCGACUCCUCUUGUGGGCUCGUGACACAGCCGACUCCCUGCUGCCGGUGCCCUAUUUUGGGUUCACAGUCAGCCGAGCUCUCCUCACAGCAGUGCCGCAGACCUCCAUCUCGUGUGCCCUAGGUUUGGAUUGUGCCGCCGCUGAGUUUGCUUCGCCGACGCUGUGCCCUAACAUUUUCGCCGGCCACAGUGAAGUAAUCAGCAAGGAGUUUGGGUUUGUGGAUGAUUUUGGGUUCCGGCAGCUAUCCCAUUUAGCAGCCUACUUAAUUGUCAACAGCAACACACUGCGACCGGGAAUCAAGAAACUACAGGCUGUGAAUUGAGGACUUUGACGCGAGACGAGUAUCUCGGAGUCAGAUUGGACCUUUCUAUUUCGGAGG